CUCAGUUAUGGUAUUUGGAUGAUAUUAGAGAAUUAUUAUCAGAGUCGAACUUGAGUCUUAUGCGGGAGUCAUGCUUUGGCCAUUUGUUGGAAAUUUGUGAAUUUGAAUUCCAAGGAGAAUUGUUUAAAUUGUUGUGUAGGAGGUUGCACUCGAAUAGCCUGGAUAGAACAACACUGAUGUUUAAGUUUGGAGGCCGUACAGUUGAAUUUGGUCGUGGGGACUUCUGUCUGAUGACUGGAUUGAAAUUUAGCGGUUGUUUGGUACUACCGAAUCAGUCCCAAUUCCAUUUUGAUGUCUUUGCAUCUCGGCGUAACUUGUUAUUUUAUGAUAUUGAACAACAAUUUAGGAAGGAAUGUGCUGAAAGUGGAGGGAACUCAGCUAAUAGUUUGAAGUUAGCAUACUUAUUACUUAUUUUUGGAUUGUUUGGGUUGAUUAAUUAUGAUAGUCCGAGACUGGAAAUGGGGUAUCUGCACUUGAUCGACGAUGUUAAGAAGUUUAAUGAGUAUCCUUGGGGCCAUGUUGCUUAUGAGUAUCUAGUUCAAUGGACACAUCGACUCAAAAGAGAAUUAUCAACUGCUGCACAUGAAAGUCCGAAUGAAAGUCUGAAUCGUCCAUUUAUAGCCUGUGGAUUUGUGCAUGCUUUACAAUGUUGGUGUUAUGAAGUGAAUCCGGCACUUGGGACAAUGUGUGCAUCUUUGAAUGUUGAUCAUCUAACUUCAUUUCCUCGGUUACGAAGAUGGGCUGCUACGUCAGAUCUGAAGUCUAUUGGUGAGGGCUUGUCGAAGUGUUUUUUGCCGGAUCAUGGAUGUGACCCUGUGCGUAUAUCAUUGUCUUCGGGAGAGAGUACGAAAUUGGUGAACCUUGGGAUAUCUUCCCCGAUGCAUGUUGCCUCUCGUUCUCCCGUGAAAAAAUUUGCGAAGAAUGUUGGUCGUAAGCUUAAUUUCGAUAGCGUGGAGCGCGAAGGAUGCGACUCCAAGAAGCAAACACGUAAGCGGAAGACCUCGAGUAUUGGUACCUCCCCUUUGAGCAAUAGCACUGGUAAGUCUAAGGAAGUUGGUGAGUGUUCGAUUAGUGGCGGCAAGGCCACAGCGAAAGUUGCCCCGAAGUUGAGUGUUAAGAGGAAAGCGGGGCAUUAUGUAAAGAAUGGAACACCGACUAGCGAAAGUAAUACCAACGUUAAUGUUAUGAUGCAGGAUAAUGCUACCAUGGGGGGACAUGCCGUCAAUUACGUGAGUAAUUUCAUGUAUCACGUUGGGAAGUUUAUUUGUACAUAUAAUAAUUUAGAAACUUAUUAUAAAUUUAUGUUUUUAUGCCUUUAAGAUGUAAUGCAAUUGUUCCUUAGCUUGAAAGGGCAGAUUAAGUGCCUUCAAGAUUUGGUGGACACGAAGUUCAAAAUGAUUGAAGCCUAUGUAGAGAAGUACACAUCUGGUGCGUCUUGUUCGUGUGGGUCGAAACUUGAUUGUCUUGAUAAAGGGCAAAAAGGCAAAUAUUUGGGGAAUGAAUAUGGUGUCGCUGAUAGGUUGAGCAAUCAUGAAUCACCUGUAAACUUUUCACAUGUUGAUACUGGCGUUCAGUUCGGUGGAGAUAAAAACUUAUAUGAAAUUAUUGAAGAUGAAGACUAUGUAGGCACGGAUAUAGUAUCACGAAAAACCGAGGCAAUGACACUUGAUAGAAGCAAUGUCUCUGAGGCUGUUACUGGAGACAAUAAUGGCGAUUGCACGGCUGGGCAGUUUGUAUAUGAUCCUAAUGAAUUCAACACGGAGUUUUCUCAAUUGAAGCCGUAUUUGGAUUGGACUUGCAGCCCUGAUAAUAUCAGGAGUCAGAAUCAGGUAAUCCUCCCAACGGAUAUUCAGCGAUAUGCAGAUUUGAGUUGGUUCAAUAUCUUGUGGCGGCCUAAUGGAUGGCUCGAUAACUCGCACAUUGAUGCUCUCAUCAAUCUCCUAAUUAUCCGAUACGAUAAGGAGGUUAAGUCUCACAAACCACGUACUUGGGCGUGUUUGGAGAUAUGUUGUUGGCAAGCACUGACUAAGACGAACAUGGAUGAUAUUAUCCCAGUUGUGAUGCCAUAUGUCUGCGGCGUUCGCCCGGUAAGUGGGGGAUUGAAUUGGUUAAAUGCUACUCAUGUGUUUGGUGUUGGCAACAUAAACAAUUGCCAUUGGGUCUUUUUUGAUAUUUCAUUAGCUGACCAUGUAAUUACAGUGUAUAAUUCGGUACAACAGUCUUGGGAAUGUGUGUAUGCACAUUUUCAAAAUGUCCGAAAGAACUUAGCCAUUUUAUGUAGAUUGGGAGGUUUAUGUUCGAGAAAUCAUGCUGGGGAGAGUUGGUAUGUUGUUGAAUAUCCUAGACCACCAAGGCAAUUGAAUCAAAGUGAUUGCGGUAUAAUGGCGAUGAAAUAUAUGGAAUGUCGUGCCUUUGAUGUUCCUGUUUCGAAAAUUAUCCCUCAUAGAUGUGCAAAGUUUCGCCGGCGAUAUUGUGCGAAGUUAUUUGAACAUUCGGAGGAGCUUAAGCGCACAUUGAAGACGUGAUUUUUGUGUUGAGCAUUUUGUCGCAUUUGAUACACCCUCGUAUUGUUCCUCACUAUUUAUUUUGUAUGGUGAUGUUAUCGCUAAUUAAUAUGUAGAGGUGUGCUAAAGACCCUAGUGCUUGCUGGUGUAUCAAACUCCUUUAACAUGAAUUUCUGGUUAAUUUAACUCGUAAGCUUCGAAUGGAAAUUAGGCAUGCUUGAUAGUUUUUUUAAUUAAUGUAAUUUGUAACCUUUUACCGGGAUGUUGACUUCAUUUCUUGCUAUAUGCUUGUUGAGUAUG